AUAAUUCUAACUAACCCACUCUCUCUCCUUAUUUGAUCCUUUAUCUUUUAUCCAUAUUUCGUAGAUU
rnacentral:tRNA from 1 species